UACGUAGGCAGCAAGCGUUGUUCGGAGUUACUGGGCGUAAAGGGCGCGUAGGCGGCGCGAGAAGUCGAGUGUGAAAGCCCCGGGCUCAACCUGGGAAUUGCGCUCGAUACUCUUGUGCUUGAGUUCGGGAGAGGAGCGUGGAAUUCCCAGUGUAGAGGUGAAAUUCGUAGAUAUUGGGAAGAACACCGGUGGCGAAGGCGGCGCUCUGGACCGAGACUGACGCUGAGGCGCGAAAGCGUGGGGAGCAAACAGG
rnacentral:rRNA from 1 species